rnacentral:rRNA from 1 species
GGUUAAGCGACUAAGCGUACACGGUGGAUGCCCUGGCAGUCAGAGGCGAUGAAGGACGUGCUAAUCUGCGAUAAGCGUCGGUAAGGUGAUAUGAACCGUUAUAACCGGCGAUUUCCGAAUGGGGAAACCCAGUGUGUUUCGACACACUAUCAUUAACUGAAUCCAUAGGUUAAUGAGGCGAACCGGGGGAACUGAAACAUCUAAGUACCCCGAGGAAAAGAAAUCAACCGAGAUUCCCCCAGUAGCGGCGAGCGAACGGGGAGCAGCCCAGAGCCUGAAUCAGUGUGUGUGUUAGUGGAAGCGUCUGGAAAGGCGCGCGAUACAGGGUGACAGCCCCGUACACAAAAAUGCACAUGCUGUGAGCUCGAUGAGUAGGGCGGGACACGUGGUAUCCUGUCUGAAUAUGGGGGGACCAUCCUCCAAGGCUAAAUACUCCUGACUGACCGAUAGUGAACCAGUACCGUGAGGGAAAGGCGAAAAGAACCCCGGCGAGGGGAGUGAAAAAGAACCUGAAACCGUGUACGUACAAGCAGUGGGAGCACGCUUCGGCGUGUGACUGCGUACCUUUUGUAUAAUGGGUCAGCGACUUAUAUUCUGUAGCAAGGUUAACCGAAUAGGGGAGCCGAAGGGAAACCGAGUCUUAACUGGGCGUUAAGUUGCAGGGUAUAGACCCGAAACCCGGUGAUCUAGCCAUGGGCAGGUUGAAGGUUGGGUAACACUAACUGGAGGACCGAACCGACUAAUGUUGAAAAAUUAGCGGAUGACUUGUGGCUGGGGGUGAAAGGCCAAUCAAACCGGGAGAUAGCUGGUUCUCCCCGAAAGCUAUUUAGGUAGCGCCUCGUGAAUUCAUCUCCGGGGGUAGAGCACUGUUUCGGCAAGGGGGUCAUCCCGACUUACCAACCCGAUGCAAACUGCGAAUACCGGAGAAUGUUAUCACGGGAGACACACGGCGGGUGCUAACGUCCGUCGUGAAGAGGGAAACAACCCAGACCGCCAGCUAAGGUCCCAAAGUCAUGGUUAAGUGGGAAACGAUGUGGGAAGGCCCAGACAGCCAGGAUGUUGGCUUAGAAGCAGCCAUCAUUUAAAGAAAGCGUAAUAGCUCACUGGUCGAGUCGGCCUGCGCGGAAGAUGUAACGGGGCUAAACCAUGCACCGAAGCUGCGGCAGCGACGCUUAUGCGUUGUUGGGUAGGGGAGCGUUCUGUAAGCCUGUGAAGGUGUGCUGUGAGGCAUGCUGGAGGUAUCAGAAGUGCGAAUGCUGACAUAAGUAACGAUAAAGCGGGUGAAAAGCCCGCUCGCCGGAAGACCAAGGGUUCCUGUCCAACGUUAAUCGGGGCAGGGUGAGUCGACCCCUAAGGCGAGGCCGAAAGGCGUAGUCGAUGGGAAACAGGUUAAUAUUCCUGUACUUGGUGUUACUGCGAAGGGGGGACGGAGAAGGCUAUGUUGGCCGGGCGACGGUUGUCCCGGUUUAAGCGUGUAGGCUGGUUUUCCAGGCAAAUCCGGAAAAUCAAGGCUGAGGCGUGAUGACGAGGCACUACGGUGCUGAAGCAACAAAUGCCCUGCUUCCAGGAAAAGCCUCUAAGCAUCAGGUAACAUCAAAUCGUACCCCAAACCGACACAGGUGGUCAGGUAGAGAAUACCAAGGCGCUUGAGAGAACUCGGGUGAAGGAACUAGGCAAAAUGGUGCCGUAACUUCGGGAGAAGGCACGCUGAUAUGUAGGUGAAGCGACUUGCUCGUGGAGCUGAAAUCAGUCGAAGAUACCAGCUGGCUGCAACUGUUUAUUAAAAACACAGCACUGUGCAAACACGAAAGUGGACGUAUACGGUGUGACGCCUGCCCGGUGCCGGAAGGUUAAUUGAUGGGGUCAGCGCAAGCGAAGCUCUUGAUCGAAGCCCCGGUAAACGGCGGCCGUAACUAUAACGGUCCUAAGGUAGCGAAAUUCCUUGUCGGGUAAGUUCCGACCUGCACGAAUGGCGUAAUGAUGGCCAGGCUGUCUCCACCCGAGACUCAGUGAAAUUGAACUCGCUGUGAAGAUGCAGUGUACCCGCGGCAAGACGGAAAGACCCCGUGAACCUUUACUAUAGCUUGACACUGAACAUUGAGCCUUGAUGUGUAGGAUAGGUGGGAGGCUUUGAAGUGUGGACGCCAGUCUGCAUGGAGCCGACCUUGAAAUACCACCCUUUAAUGUUUGAUGUUCUAACGUUGACCCGUAAUCCGGGUUGCGGACAGUGUCUGGUGGGUAGUUUGACUGGGGCGGUCUCCUCCUAAAGAGUAACGGAGGAGCACGAAGGUUGGCUAAUCCUGGUCGGACAUCAGGAGGUUAGUGCAAUGGCAUAAGCCAGCUUGACUGCGAGCGUGACGGCGCGAGCAGGUGCGAAAGCAGGUCAUAGUGAUCCGGUGGUUCUGAAUGGAAGGGCCAUCGCUCAACGGAUAAAAGGUACUCCGGGGAUAACAGGCUGAUACCGCCCAAGAGUUCAUAUCGACGGCGGUGUUUGGCACCUCGAUGUCGGCUCAUCACAUCCUGGGGCUGAAGUAGGUCCCAAGGGUAUGGCUGUUCGCCAUUUAAAGUGGUACGCGAGCUGGGUUUAGAACGUCGUGAGACAGUUCGGUCCCUAUCUGCCGUGGGCGCUGGAGAACUGAGGGGGGCUGCUCCUAGUACGAGAGGACCGGAGUGGACGCAUCACUGGUGUUCGGGUUGUCAUGCCAAUGGCACUGCCCGGUAGCUAAAUGCGGAAGAGAUAAGUGCUGAAAGCAUCUAAGCACGAAACUUGCCCCGAGAUGAGUUCUCCCUGACCCUUUAAGGGUCCUGAAGGAACGUUGAAGACGACGACGUUGAUAGGCCGGGUGUGUAAGCGCAGCGAUGCGUUGAGCUAACCGGUACUAAUGAACCGUGAGGCUUAACCUUACAACGCCGAAGAUGUUUUG